UGAAAAUCACUGGCUAUCUUUGCUUGGUAACCCGUGACUGCUCUGUAACUCUCAAGCAUGAGUUUAUUUAAGUCUUAAUGUGCUCUUAUCACUGUGCUCAGGACUUCCGAGAGCAUAUAAAAAAGGAUGAAGACACCAUCUUUAGUAUUACACAGCUUAAAAAAAAACUCAAGUCAGAAAGGGUGGAAAAUGUCACCAGCUCAUGAGCAAAGAUACAUAAAUGCAGUGACCACACUGCAGAAAAUUUCAGAAAACAAAAUCACUAAUGUUUGGGGGAAAUGAUGGAAAAAUGUUCCCACAGGAGCAAGCACUAGUUUGGGUCUUAAAAGCUCAAUUGACUUCAUAGGAGCAGAGAGAAGGGAUGCCCUAGAGGGCAUCAAGAGGGGAAAACAGUAAAGACUUGGAGUGGGAGCUGUCUGGUUGGAGGCAACCCAUGAAGGAAUCAGAUCAGUCUCUGCAGUUUAAACGAAGGAGAGUCUAGAAAAGCCAUCCCCGAGAUGCUUAGGAUGCAUGUGAGUAUGUGAGAUGGUGGCUGAGGGCUUAGGGUACAUAUGAAAACUGACUUAUCCCAGGGUGGGGAUACAGCGUAUUAACCAAGCUGGGAAAGCAUUGCCUGGCAUAUGUGAGUCUCUGGGUCUGGUUCUCCACAGAAGUCAAGGGGAGGUGGAAUGAGAUGCAUGCUUGGACUGAGAAAUAGAAGGUCUCAAGAAAGAGAAACUGAAGAUGCAGGAUUGCAACAAUAAAGCUCACUCUGGAGAAGAGGUGUUUUCUGCCUUGCACAAGAAGCACUGCCCAUCACCAGCUCUGGUUUCUGUUCCUGUCAGCAGCAUGUGCCUUCUGGGGAUGGAUGAUCUGGAGAAAAACCAAGAACGGACAGCACAUUGGCCAUAUUCUUCCUUUACCUCCAGUGGCUUGGUGGUCAGUGAUGGCACCAAUUGACACGGGACCAAAGAGGCAGAUUUAAGAAGGAAAGAAAUUGUUAGGUUCUGAGAAGGAUGUGUUAAUGUUCAGAUUUCUACAGAAGAGCCUGGUUGUGAUGACCAGAAGAAGGUUAGAAGGAUACACAUCAGCAUGGCUAAAGAAAUAGUCUCCCCAUAGACAUUUGCAGCCUAAGCCUGGUGCUCACAUCAUUUCUGCUAUAUAAUCAUCUCAACCUUUCCUCUGGACUGGACAUGACCAACAGCAAUCUUUAAUCAGAAUAGCUGUGAUCUUCCCCAGUUGACCUUCACAAAAUUGGGCUUGGAGGGGAAUGAUGAGCACUGCCUUCAGCACCGAGAAAACUCUACAGCUCUACAGCUCAACCCAUGAGUUGCCCCAAGUACUUUGGGUCACCUUUGAGUCACCCAUAUUCCUAUAAGUAAACCCAAUAAAUUCACUGAUUCAGUCUGCUCA
rnacentral:lncRNA from 1 species